rnacentral:rRNA from 1 species
GUGGGGAAUAUUGGACAAUGGGCGAAAGCCUGAUCCAGCCAUGCCGCGUGUGUGAAGAAGGUCUUCGGAUUGUAAAGCACUUUAAGUUGGGAGGAAGGGCAGUAAGUUAAUACCUUGCUGUUUUGACGUUACCGACAGAAUAAGCACCGGCUAACUUCGUGCCAGCAGCCGCGGUAAUACGAAGGGUGCAAGCGUUAAUCGGAAUUACUGGGCGUAAAGCGCGCGUAGGUGGGUCGUUAAGUUGGAUGUGAAAGCCCCGGGCUCAACCUGGGAACUGCAUCCAAAACUGGCGAGCUAGAGUACGGUAGAGGAUGGUGGAAUUUCCUGUGUAGCGGUGAAAUGCGUAGAUAUAGGAAGGAACACCAGUGGCGAAGGCGACCACCUGGACUGAUACUGACACUGAGGUGCGAAAGCGUGGGGAGCAAACAGGAUUAGAUACCCUAGUAGUCC